UGGGGAAUAUUGCGCAAUGGGGGGAACUCUGACGCAGCCAUGCCGCGUGAAUGAAGAAGGCCUUCGGGUUGUAAAGUUCUUUCGGUAUUGAGGAAGGUUGAUGUGUUAAUAGCACAUCAAAUUGACGUUAAAUACAGAAGAAGCACCGGCUAACUCCGUGCCAGCAGCCGCGGUAAUACGGAGGGUGCGAGCGUUAAUCGGAAUAACUGGGCGUAAAGGGCACGCAGGCGGUUAUUUAAGUGAGGUGUGAAAGCCCCGGGCUUAACCUGGGAAUUGCAUUUCAGACUGGGUAACUAGAGUACUUUAGGGAGGGGUAGAAUUCCACGUGUAGCGGUGAAAUGCGUAGAGAUGUGGAGGAAUACCGAAGGCGAAGGCAGCCCCUUGGGAAUGUACUGACGCUCAUGUGCGAAAGCGUGGGGAGCAAACAGGAUUAGAUACCCUGGUAGUCCACGCUGUAAACGCUGUCGAUUUGGGGGUUGGGGUUUAACUCUGGCGCCCGUAGCUAACGUGAUAAAUCGACCGCCUGGGGAGUACGGCCGCAAGGUUA
rnacentral:rRNA from 1 species